AAUGACAAGGUGAUGACUUUUAAUAUGUGCACAUUUUUACUUGCAUGCUACACUGAAAAUCAUCUAGCAAUGAAAGGGUUUGAUGUGCAAAGUGCAGCUGAUUUUUACUGUAUGCUUGCAGGCUGUCUGUAGAGUAAAACACUGAAUUCUUCCAUUCUUAUGGGAGAGUCAUAUUUAUAUAUAUUCAUAUAUAAACACAUACUACUUCCACAUCAUGAAAGAGAGGAAUUCUGGAUAGCUGAAAUUAUAGAGAUCCAAGGUGAUCUAAUAAUAUACUGUUCAUUUGUAUUUUGGUUUCAAACAGCUGUAACUAAGUGAUGCAUGUACAUCAGCUGCUCUUUCCAAAUAUUAAGGAAUGAGUGAGUUAGGGUUUUUUUUUUUUUUUCUGGCCAGUGCUUCAGAGAUGUUAAAUCAAAUACAUCUGAAAUAUUAAGAAUUCUGCUUUUGCCUGGCUGGGACAAAUUACUGUCAACACAUCUAACUGCAAUUUUGGACAACAGCUACAUCAUGGAUUUUUUUUUCUUUUUUUUUCAGUGUGUUAAGAACUGUGACAGCAGCAUACAUGGACUGAAAACUAACAUGAGUUCUUUGAUGAAAAAAAAAAAGGUUUUGAACAAUUCUUAAAGGGGUCAUAUUAUACACAUUUCUUCCAAACUAAUAUAUUUCACAAGAUGUCUUAAAACAGAUGUUAAUGUUUGUAGCCAAAAAUAUCGCACAGACAAAAAAAUGAAUAAA